UACGAAGGGGGCUAGCGUUGCUCGGAAUCACUGGGCGUAAAGCGCACGUAGGCGGCUUGUUAAGUCCGGGGUGAAAUCCUGGAGCUCAACUCCAGAACUGCCUUUGAUACUGACGGUCUUGAGUCCGGGAGAGGUGAGUGGAACUCCGAGUGUAGAGGUGAAAUUCGUAGAUAUUCGGAAGAACACCAGUGGCGAAGGCGGCUCACUGGCCCGGUACUGACGCUGAGGUGCGAAAGCGUGGGGAGCAAACAGG
rnacentral:rRNA from 1 species